GCUCGCUCGGCGUGGGCGUUCUUUACGCCGGCCUCACCCCGGCCGGGCAGGCGGUGCCCGGCCCCGGCUCGGGUGCAAGGCCGGCGGCGAUCG
rnacentral:tRNA from 1 species